rnacentral:rRNA from 1 species
GAUGAACGCUGGCGGCGUGCCUAACACAUGCAAGUCGAACGGGGACAGAUUGAAACCUAGUGAUAUCUGUCCGAGUGGCGGACGGGUGAGUAACGCGUGGAUAACCUGCCGCAUGCAGGGGGAUACCGGCUGGAAACAGCCGCUAAUACCGCAUAAGCGCACGGUGCUGCAUGGCACGGUGUGAAAAGGAGCAAUCCGGCAUGCGAUGGAUCCGCGUCCGAUUAGCCAGUUGGCGGGGUAACGGCCCACCAAAGCGACGAUCGGUAGCCGGCCUGAGAGGGCGGACGGCCACAUUGGGACUGAGACACGGCCCAG